CGCUGACAGGCGGCAAUUUCGGAGGAAUACCUAUGCGAAAGCAGCUACUGACCAUCAUGACGCUGAUGGCGAAAGCUAGGGAGCACACAGGAUUAGAUACCCUGGUAGUCCUAGCCCUAACGAUGCUCAUUAGGUGUGGGAGUAUCGACCCUUUCGCGCCGAAGUUAACGCAUUAAUGAGCCGCCUGGGGAGUACGGCCGCAAGGUUGAACUCAAAGGAAUUGACGGGGCACGCACAAGCGGUGGAGCAUGUGGUUUAAUUCGACGCAACGCGAAGAACCUUACCUGGGCUUGAACUACUGGUAGUAAGCCGUUGGAAACAUCGGCUGAUCCGCAAGGAAGCCAGCAGAGGUGCUGCAUGGUUGUCGUCAGCUCGUGUCGUGAGAUGUUGGGUUAAAGUCCCGCAACGAGCGCAACCCCUAUCUCAUGUUGCUAUUCCCGCAAGGGAAGCAUUCUUGAGAAAGUGCCUUCGAUAAGAAGGAGGAAGGUGGGGAGGACGUCAAAUCCUCAUGGCCCUUAUGUCCAGGGCAACACACGUGCUACAAUGGCCGGUACAACGGGAAGCAAUACCGUAAGGUGGAGCCAAACCCUGAAAGCCGGCCUCAGUUCAGAUUGUGGGUUGAAACUCGCCCACAUGAAGGCGGAAUCGCUAGUAAUCGCGAAUCAGCAGGUCGCGGUGAAUACGUUCCCGGGCCUUGUACACACCGCCCGUCACACCACGAAAGUGGGCCGUACUAGAAGCUGGUGUGCUAACCGCAAGGAGGCAGCCAUCCAAGGUACAGCUCAUGAUUGGGGUGAAGUGGUAACAAGGUAACC
rnacentral:rRNA from 1 species